rnacentral:lncRNA from 1 species
AAUUUAAUUUAUUUAAUAAAUAUAUUUGGAUAGGGUGAUCUGUUUAUAAUAUAUAUUUGUUUAUAUAAAAUUUAAAAUUAUUUAAACUAAAUUAUUUAUAGAUCAGAUGGAUGGAUCAGAUUAUACAUUAUCAUUCUUAUUUAUCGUCUGGGAUUUGCCCAUCAGCGGCUCUAAGGUUGAUAAUUUCUCGUAUGCGGGAUUAUAUGCAGACGUUGGGAUGGAAGAAAUGAUGACACUGCAAAACCGGGAAUAUUGGGUCAGCACUGAGUAUGGAUGUGUGUGCAGAGAUGCGGUGCGGUCCUCUCACGCGAUUAUUUAAACUUCUGUGCUCAAUGACAUAUUUACCCUGAGUGGGAUGUCCAUACGUUGGAGUUGAGUGAAUGGUGUAGGGGUAUUUUGGAAAAUGACGAACUUGGGAGCAUGGGCGGGUUCUGUUCACCGUACAUGAUGGUUACCUCACUACUUUUCUCGGUCUUUGGUUGCAGAGAGUGGCAUAUUCGAUCACCGGACACAUCGGAAUGAUAACUUUAACUGAUCCAUCGGAUAUCCCUG